rnacentral:rRNA from 1 species
GACGGAGGAUGCAAGCGUUAUCCGGAAUUAUUGGGGGUAAAGCGUCCGCCGGGGGACAUACAAUUUGGCUUUCAAAGUGCAGAGCUUAACUCUGUAAAGGCGGUGGAAACUGUAGGUCUUGAGUAUGGUAGGGGUAGAGGGAAUUCCCGGUGUAGCGGUGAAAUGCGUAGAUAUCGGGAAGAACACCAGUGGCGAAAGCGCUCUACUGGGCCAUAACUGACACUGAGGGACGAAAGCUAGGGGAGCGAAAGGG